GUUUAUAAAAACAUUCAGAACUUUAAUUGAUUGCUAUUGUAUUGUUUUAGAUAAUCAUUUUUAUUGAUACAAUUCGAACAUUUAAUCAUCACAUCGGUCAGAUUGAAUGGAAAACCAGGGACGUUUUAGUGAUUCUGAUGAUGAUUUUGAACUUCCUGAAGAUCGAAGAAUGACCAGGGUUCUCUUUCACCAGAUGAAAUCCAAUAUCCUAACAGUGAUGAUGAUACUUACCUAGAAAAUACUCAUCAUCCCCGACAGAAUUCACCCAAGACCCGAAUCCAUGUGCAAGGCAUUGGAAGGGAUGACAUCCGAACAAGUACAAGAGCUCCUUCACAAGUUGCACAUCAGUGAUGAAUCCAGUCAAGAUGAAGCUAUUCCCCCUGAAAAAGAAAAUGUUGUAGAGCAGACUGGAUGGAAAAGACCAAGUAAAACUUAAAAAGAAGAAAAGCUCCAGCUAAAAAAGUCACUAAAGGAAAUACCAAAAAUAAUAAAACAAGAAUUUUCAGAUCAAAGUGCUGAACAGAUAGAGUUACCCCCAGUAAGAAAAAUGUAGCUCUAGAAGAAACUAAGACAAAGAAAACAAAGCGAGGAAAGAAGGAUAUUGCCUGCUCCAGAGAAUGUUUCUGUGCCAGCAUCAGAUCACAAUAUUACUAUCAAAAGUUUGACAAAAAAGAUGUGGAUGAAGAAAUUAAUAUGAAGAGUAAGAAAAAGGUCACAAAGAGUAAACCAAAAUAGUGCUAAGGAAAUAGGUUCCGAGGAUCAUUCUGUAUUACCACCAAAAGAGGAAAGUAAUUCUCAAAACGAAGACAAUAAACAAGAGUCUGAAAAUGGCAACAAGACUAAAAAAAACCACCAAGAAAGGAAAACAAACAGAAAAUGUUCAUGCAGAUGAACCAAAAGAAGAUGAUAAAAAACAGCAGAAUACUAAAGUUGUUGCAAAUAAUGGAGAGAAAGAAAAGCCAGGAAGACUCUUGAAAAAGAGUAAGGAUGAACCUCCUGUUGAGAACGAAGUUGAAAAAUGCCUCAGAAGGAAAGAAAAUAGGUGAAAACAAAUUAACAAAGCAAGCUAAGGGGAAACAGAAGAAUGCCAAUGGAAGUUUUGAAAGGAAAUAAUGAGUCCAAGGAAAAAGAAUCUGACAGUAUUAUAGCUGAGGAACCCAAUAAAGGACGAGCUAAAAGGAAUGCAAAGAAAGAAACUAAAGACGUUGAAGUCGAUGAACUUGAACAGGUAAAAGAAGUUCAGAAAUCAAAAAAGAAAGUAAAUUCCAAACAAAAAGAAAAUGAAGAUCCAGAUAAAAAUGAACCAAAGAGUAAACCAGCACCAAAAACAAAUUCAGCAAAAGAGAAAAAAAUUCCUACGAAUAAAAAAGAAGAUAAAAUAAAAGAAGAAGAGGUACCUGCAACUAAGAGAGCUACCAGAAGAAACAGUAAAAUAGUAAUAGAAAGUUGCUUAGUUAGUCCCACUUGGUCUAUUUUUUUUUAAUUUUAACGUAUUUAGUGUUAAAUUUCAUUUAUUCAAAAUAAUUUAAUUUUUUAGGCUUUAAAAUAAUUUUACUAAAUCAGCUGAACGAUUUUGUAAAUACAAAAUGUUUACCUCCUUAGCUGAUUAUAUAUUAUUGUAAUCACUUAGAUUUUAUGAUAGCUUUGGGAAUUUUUUGUUGGUAUUUAAGAUAUAGUUUUUACAUUGUGUUAUGUACAAAACCAGAAUUUUACUGGUGGAGCUUAAAGCAAAACAUUUAAGAUUAAGUACAUUAAAAAACUGUUUUUUGUUAUUAAAUAAAAAUACUAAAGUUAUUAGCCAAAAACGUUUUUUAAGUAAGUAAUUUAUUGUUGUAUUACUGUCAUUAUGUUAUGUAAGUUUUACACUAUUACAUUAAAUAUUUUUACAUUAA